UCUUUCUUUAUUUAUUUGUUCAUUUGAUACCUCAAUGCAGAAAAUGAGGAAGGGGGCACACCGGCAUUUAAAAAAACAUUUUUUUAGAGGGUGACCAGCACCCUCCAGAAGGUGGCGCCCUAGGCAACCGCCACCUAUGCCUUCUGCAGGCCCUGACCCAGAGUUUUAUUUAACAUAAGAGAAGAGUAAACCAGAGCCUGAAUUACCCAGAAACAUCAUCAUAAACAUUUCUUUGUGUGGAAAUGAAAUGUUAAAACAAGUAAAACGUGUUCUUUGUUACAUAUUUCCUUUGAGUACCAAGACAUGCAAAACAUGCAUUCAGAAGUCAUCUUUAAAACAAACAAAAAAAAACAGUUUUAACAAAAAUUCAAAUUAGCAUAUUUUUAAGGAAAUACAAACUUUCUUUAUGGUCAUUAUGACGUAGUGUGUAAAGGUUAAAUUGUCAUUAAGCUAUCAGAGGAUAACGUGCUAGGUAUUUUUAGUCAGAGUGAGGGGUUCAUUUUCUAAAUUAUGCGGUUGAAGGUCGUGGGUGUCAUCAACAGAUCAAAUACACAGCAAAGCAAAGCACCCAGACACUCACACACACACAACGAGAACUUCACUCAGAAAAGUUAGCAUUUUACCUGACUUUAAUCACUUUCCUUUUCUAGUAAUUAAAUUGUUUACUGCUUGAUUUGCAAUAAUUCCUAUGAAUGAAAUAUGCCUCACAAGUGAAUCACGCAUUAAGUGCCAGUUUUCCUCCAACACGUUUGUUUCUUCAGAGUGGUGCAUCAAUAAUGUGAUUUUCUUCAGUCAGUUUACCAACUACACUUUUAUUUAUUAACUGAUACAGAAGAAAACUCUGAUUGUAACCUAAGUAAAUGUACAAAUAAAGAUUUUAAUAAGA